rnacentral:misc_RNA from 1 species
AAAGUCGUAACAAGGUUUCCGUAGGUGAACCUGCGGAAGGAUCAUUAAUGAAUAAACUCGGUGGAUUGUUGCUGGCUCUUAGGAGCAUGUGCACAUCUGCCAUUGUUUCAUUCUUUCUCCACCUGUGCACCUUUUGUAGGCUUGGAUAACUCUCAGGGACUGGAUUACAUUCAUUCCUUGGAUAUGAGGAUUGGUUUCAAAGAAAAACUCUCCUUUGCAUUUCCAGUCUAUGUUUUUAUAUAUUUACACCCCAUUAGUAUGUCUUUAGAAUGUUUAAUAUUUGGCCUUUAUAGGCUUUAAAACUUUAUACAACUUUCAACAACGGAUCUCUUGGCUCUC